rnacentral:tRNA from 1 species
GGACCCGUGGUCUAGCUGGUCAUGACGCUGCCUUCACACGGCAGAGAUCGGGCGUUCGAAUCGCCCCGAGUCCA